rnacentral:rRNA from 1 species
UACGGAGGGAGCUAGCGUUGUUCGGAAAUACUGGGCGUAAAGCGCACGUAGGCGGCGCAGCAAGUCCGGGGUGAAAUCCCGGGGCUCAACCCCGGAACUGCCCUUGAAACUGCAGUGCUAGAAUCUUGGAGAGGCGAGUGGAAUUCCGAGUGUAGAGGUGAAAUUCGUAGAUAUUCGGAAGAACACCAGUGGCGAAGGCGACUCGCUGGACAAGUAUUGACGCUGAGGUGCGAAAGCGUGGGGAGCAAACAGG